UUCGAGAUAGCUCAGUUGGUAGAGCAGCGGACUGUUAAUCCGUUGGUCCCAGGUUCGAACCCUGGUCUCGGAG
rnacentral:tRNA from 1 species